UUGCACGCUGGCGGCAUGCUUUACACCUGCAAGUCGCACGGUAACAGGCCUUCGGGUGCUGACGAGUGGCGAACGGGUGAGUAAUGCAUCGGAACGUACCCAGAGGUGGGGGAUAACGCAGCGAAAGCUGUGCUAAUACCGCAUGUGAUCUGAGGAUGAAAGCGGGGGACCGAGCAGCAAUGUUUGGCCUCGCGCCUUUGGAGCGGCCGAUGUCGGAUUAGCUAGUUGGUGGGGUAAAGGCCUACCAAGGCGACGAUCCGUAGCUGGUCUGAGAGGACGACCAGCCACACUGGGACUGAGACACGGCCCAGACUCCUACGGGAGGCAGCAGUGGGGAAUGUUGGACAAUGGGCGCGAGCCUGAUCCAGCAAUGCCGCGUGCGGGAAGAAGGCCUUCGGGUUGUAAACCGCUUUUGGCAGGAACGAAACGGUGUCCGCUAAUACCGGGCGCUAAUGACGGUACCUGCAGAAUAAGCACCGGCUAACUACGUG
rnacentral:rRNA from 1 species